GAUCCAGGGAGGGCAUGUGAUCCAGAUGAGAUCAGAGAAUUGGGCAGGGUCAGACCUGUUCAACAGAGGAGUAAGGAGAGAAAAGAGGAGAAAUCAGUCUGACAGAGUGGCCAAAGCCAUAUUUGAGCAUAUGUGGCUUCAAAUCUCUGCUGAGUACCUUGCUACGUGUGAGACCUUGUGCAAGUCACUAAACUUCUCUGAACUUCAGUUCUGGUCAGAAGAAUGCAAGAAAGAAUAACUGUUCCUUACAAGUCUGCUCUGGAGGUUGGAAAGUCAAAGAUGAAGGGGCUGGCAGUUUUAAUUCUUGGUAAGGGCCCUCUUCUUGGCUGCUACAUGUCCACCUUCUCAUGUAUCUUCAAGUGUGGAGAGAGUACUCGCCAGUAUCUUUCUUUCCUUGUUAGAAACUAAUCCCACUAUGGAGGCUCCAUUCUCAUGACCUCACUCACAGCUAAUUAGCUCUUAAAGGC
ensembl:lncRNA